UACGAAGGGGGCUAGCGUUGCUCGGAAUCACUGGGCGUAAAGCGCACGUAGGCGGAUCGCUAAGUCAGGGGUGAAAUCCUGGAGCUCAACUCCAGAACUGCCUUUGAUACUGGCAAUCUCGAGUCCGGGAGAGGUGAGUGGAACUGCGAGUGUAGAGGUGAAAUUCGUAGAUAUUCGCAAGAACACCAGUGGCGAAGGCGGCUCACUGGCCCGGUACUGACGCUGAGGUGCGAAAGCGUGGGGAGCAAACAGGAUUAAGAAACCCC
rnacentral:rRNA from 1 species